GACGAACGCUGGCGGCGUGCCUAAUACACGCAAGUAGAACGCUGAAGAGAGGAGCUUGCUCUUCUUGGAUGAGUUGCGAACGGGUGAGUAACGCGUAGGUAACCUGCCUUGUAGCGGGGGAUAACUAUUGGAAACGAUAGCUAAUACCGCAUAACAAUAGGUGACACAUGUCAUUUAUUUGAAAGGGGCAAUUGCUCCACUACAAGAUGGACCUGCGUUGUAUUAGCUAGUAGGUGAGGUAACGGCUCACCUAGGCGACGAUACAUAGCCGACCUGAGAGGGUGAUCGGCCACACUGGGACUGAGACACGGCCCAGACUCCUACGGGAGGCAGCAGUAGGGAAUCUUCGGCAAUGGGGGCAACCCUGACCGAGCAACGCCGCGUGAGUGAAGAAGGUUUUCGGAUCGUAAAGCUCUGUUGUAAGUCAAGAACGAGUGUGAGAGUGGAAAGUUCACACUGUGACGGUAGCUUACCAGAAAGGGACGGCUAACUACGUGCCAGCAGCCGCGGUAAUACGUAGGUCCCGAGCGUUGUCCGGAUUUAUUGGGCGUAAAGCGAGCGCAGGCGGUUUGAUAAGUCUGAAGUUAAAGGCUGUGGCUCAACCAUAGUUCGCUUUGGAAACUGUCAAACUUGAGUGCAGAAGGGGAGAGUGGAAUUCCAUGUGUAGCGGUGAAAUGCGUAGAUAUAUGGAGGAACACCGGUGGCGAAAGCGGCUCUCUGGUCUGUAACUGACGCUGAGGCUCGAAAGCGUGGGGAGCGAACAGGAUUCAAACCCCUUAUAGUCCACCCCGAACACGACGAGUAACUAGGUGUUGGAUCCUUUCGGGGACUCACGGCCGCAGCUAACCGCAUUAAAGCACUCUUCUCGGUGAGUACGACGGCAAGGUUGUCAACUGAAAGAAAUUGAAGGGGGUCCCGCACAACCGCUCGAGCAUGUGGUCAAAUUGGAAGCUACGAGAAGAACCUUUGCCGGUCUCGACAUCCCGCUCUAUCUUCCAGAGAUAGAAAGUGACUUUGCCUCAUCGGCACCAGGUGCAGCAUGGUCGUCGUCAGCUCGUGUCGUGAGAUGUUGAGUUAAGUCCAGCAACGAGCGCAACCCCUACUGUUAGUUGACAUCACUCAGUUGGGCACUCCAGCGAGACGGCCGGUAAUAAACCGGACGAAGGUGGGGAUGACGUCAAAUCAUCAUGCCCCUUCUGACCUGGGCUACACACGCGCUACAAUGGUUGGUACAUCGAGCGGGGAGUCGGUGACGGCAAGCUAAUCUCUUAAAGCCAAUCUCAGUUCGGAUUGUAGGCUGCAACUCGCCUACACGAAGUCGGAAUCGCUAGUAAUCGCGGAUCAGCAGCCCGCGGUGAAUACGUUCCUGGGCCU
rnacentral:rRNA from 1 species